rnacentral:SRP_RNA from 2 species
GGCGGGCCCCCUCGCAUUAAUCCUUAAGACAGCGGGUCAGGUGUGGAAGCAAGCAGCCCAUCUUAAGUGAAUAAGUGCCGGGGUCUCGGCUCGCCGCC